CAGUAGCCGCGGUAAUACGUAGGGUGCGAGCGUUAAUCGGAAUUACUGGGCGUAAAGCGUGCGCAGGCGGUUGUGUAAGACAGGUGUGAAAUCCCCGGGCUUAACCUGGGAACUGCGCUUGUGACUGCACAGCUAGAGUAUGGCAGAGGGGGGUGGAAUUCCACGUGUAGCAGUGAAAUGCGUAGAGAUGUGGAGGAACACCGAUGGCGAAGGCAGCCCCCUGGGCCAAUACUGACGCUCAUGCACGAAAGCGUGGGGAACAAACAGGAUUAGAUACCCCAGUAGUCCCUGUCUCUUAUAC
rnacentral:rRNA from 1 species